AGUGUGACCGCUUAGUGGUUAGAGCGUCCGCAUCGGAUGCGAAAGAUCGUGGGUUCGAUUCCCGGUCGAGUCAUACUA